rnacentral:rRNA from 1 species
AUUGAACGCUGCCGGCAGGCCUAACACAUGCAAGUCGCACGAGUGGUGGACGGGUGACUAAUGACUGGCCAACUGCCUGAUGGCGGGGGAUAACUACUGGAACCGUUAGCUAAUACCGCAUACCAUCAGAUGGGCCCGGAUGGGAUUAGCUUGUUGGUGGGGUAAAGGCUCACCAGGGUGACGAUCCCGAGCUGGUCUGAGAUGAUUACCAGCCACGCUGGAACUGAGACACGGUCCAGAUCCCUACGUGAGGCAGCAGUGGGGAAAAGUGUACAAUGGGGGAAGGCCUAAGGCAGCAAUGCGGCGUGUAUGGAGAAGGCCUUCGGGUUGUAAAGUACUUUCAGCGGGGAGGCGUUCCCCGAAGAAGAAGCACCGGCUAACUCCGUGGCAGCAGCCGCGGUAAGCC